CCUACGGGUGGCUGCAGUGGGGAAUAUUGCGCAAUGGACGAAAGCCUGACGCAGCGACGCCGCGUGAAGGAUGAAGGUCUUCUGAUCGUAAACCUCUGUCAGCAGGGAAGAAGGUUCCCUGUGCUAAUCACCCGUGAAUUGACGUUACCUACAAAGGAAGCACCGGCUAACUCCGUGCCAGCAGCCGCGGUAAUACGGAGGGUGCGAGCGUUAAUCGGAAUUACUGGGCGUAAAGCGCUCGUAGGCGGUAUGUCAAGUCAAGGGUGAAAUCCCCGGGCUCAACGUGGGAAUUGCCUUUGAAACUGGUAAACUGGAGUGUGGGAGAGGAGAGUGGAAUUCCAGGUGUAGGAGUGAAAUGCGUAGAUAUGGGGAGGAAUACCAGUGGCGAAGGCGACCAGCUGGAACAUAACUGACGCUGAGGAGCGAAAGCGUGGGUAGCAAACAGGAUUAGAUACCCCGGUAGUC
rnacentral:rRNA from 1 species